AAAACAGCAAUGACCGGGUAAGUAUAUCGGUCUCGAAAGCCCAGAGAGGGAGCGGCGGCGGACAACAGGCCCGCCAUGGUGUGAGCUCCCGUGCAGGACCGGUAGAAAGUCGCUCGUGAGCUGCUCUGCUGAACGUCCAUAGCCGGGUCAGUAGGCCGAGACGGUUCCCCUCCGUUAGCGGGGUCGAAAGCGCGCGGGCCCCGGCCCGCGAAUUUAGGUGGUACCACGGAGCAUGCCUUCGUCCUAUAG
rnacentral:ncRNA from 1 species